GACGAACGCUGGCGGCGUGCUUAACACAUGCAAGUCGAACGGAAAGGCCCUGCUUUUGUGGGGUGCUCGAGUGGCGAACGGGUGAGUAACACGUGUGUAACCUGCCCUUGACUUUGGGAUAACUUCAGGAAACUGGGGCUAAUACCGGAUAGGAGCUCCUGCUGCAUGGUGGGGGUUGGAAAGUUUCGGCGGUUGGGGAUGGACUCGCGGCUUAUCAGCUGGUUGGUGGGGUAGUGGCUUACCAAGUCUUUGACGGGUAGCCGGCCUGGGAGGGUGACCGGCGACAUUGGGACUGCGAGACGGACCAGUCUCCUACGGGAGGCAGCGGUGGGGAAUAUUGCACAGUGGGCGGGAGCCUGAUGCAGCAACGCCGCGUGCGGGAUGCCGGCCUUCGGGUUGUAAACAGCUUUCGCCUGUGACGAAGCGUGAGUGACGGUAAUGAGUAAAGAAGCACCGGCUAACUACGUG
rnacentral:rRNA from 1 species